GAUGAACGCUGGCGGCGUGCUUAACACAUGCAAGUCGAACGAAGCAUUUAAGACAGAUUACUUCGGUUUGAAGUCUUUUAUGACUGAGUGGCGGACGGGUGGGUAACGCGUGGGUAACCUGCCUCAUACAGGGGGAUAGCAGCUGGAAACGGCUGGUAAUACCGCAUAAGCGCACAGUACCACAUGGUACAGUGUGAAAAACUCCGGUGGUAUGAGAUGGACCCGCGUCUGAUUAGCUUGUUGGCGGGGUAACGGCCCACCAAGGCGACGAUCAGUAGCCGACCUGAGAGGGUGACCGGCCACAUUGGGACUGAGACACGGCCCAGACUCCUACGGGAGGCAGCAGUGGGGAAUAUUGCACAAUGGAGGAAACUCUGAUGCAGCGACGCCGCGUGAGUGAAGAAGUAGUUCGCUAUGUAAAGCUCUAUCAGCAGGGAAGAUAGUGACGGUACCUGACUAAGAAGCUCCGACUAAAUACGUG
rnacentral:rRNA from 1 species